GAUGAACGCUGGCGGCGUGCCUAAUACAUGCAAGUCGAGCGAACAGACGAGGAGCUUGCUCCUCUGACGUUAGCGGCGGACGGGUGAGUAACACGUGGAUAACCUACCUAUAAGACUGGGAUAACUUCGGGAAACCGGAGCUAAUACCGGAUAAUAUAUUGAACCGCAUGGUUCAAUAGUGAAAGACGGUUUUGCUGUCACUUAUAGAUGGAUCCGCGCCGCAUUAGCUAGUUGGUAAGGUAACGGCUUACCAAGGCAACGAUGCGUAGCCGACCUGAGAGGGUGAUCGGCCACACUGGAACUGAGACACGGUCCAGACUCCUACGGGAGGCAGCAGUAGGGAAUCUUGCGCAAUGGGCGAAAGCCUGACGGAGCAACGCCGCGUGAGUGAUGAAGGUCUUCGGAUCGUAAAACUCUGUUAUUAGGGAAGAAAAAAUGUGUAAGUAACUAUGCACGUCUUGACGGUACCUAAUCAGAAAGCCACGGCUAACUACGUG
rnacentral:rRNA from 1 species